AAUUUACUUAAUUUAUAAUUUUGUAUAUCGUUGUUAUAAAAAUAUUUUUUAAUAAAAUUAAUAUUUAAAAAUUAAUAAGAAAAAUUAAAUCAGAUCAAGAUGCAGAUUAUAAUUAAGAAUAUAAUGGAUUACAAUAAAUUUAUUUAAAUGAAUUUUAAUUUGUAAUAUUUAAUUGAAGGUGGAUUUAAAUGUAAUUUUAUUUAAUUUAAUAAAAUGAUUAAAAAUUAAAAUAUGU
rnacentral:rRNA from 1 species